rnacentral:rRNA from 1 species
AUACGGAGGGUGCGAGCGUUAAUCGGAAUUACUGGGCGUAAAGCGCGCGUAGGCGGUUUGGUCAGUCGGAUGUGAAAGCCCCAGGCUCAACCUGGGAAUGGCAUUCGAUACUGCCUGACUAGAGUAUGGUAGAGGGAAGUGGAAUUUCCGGUGUAGCGGUGAAAUGCGUAGAUAUCGGAAGGAACACCAGUGGCGAAGGCGACUUCCUGGGCCAAUACUGACGCUGAGGUGCGAAAGCGUGGGGAGCAAACAGGAUUAGAUACCCCAGUAGUCC